rnacentral:misc_RNA from 1 species
CGUCCUGACUCUUGAUUACCCAGAUGAUGAAUUCACUACCCCGGCAAAGGUUUCGUUAUCUUCUCAAUGUACGCAUAUUAUAGGAUUACGAAUUAGGCGAGUAUGAUUCUCGCUGGGUCGGACCAUUUUCUUGCGGUACCUGUGGAGGCAGCGGCGUUUGUUGGUGCCAUCGCCGGAUUUGGUGCUCUCCUUCUCGUCCUGUUCCUCUAUUUGUCGAGGAAAUGGUGUUUCACAUCAUCGGCAUCUUCUGCUUAUUUCGGUGGUAUGUGCGUACCACUCUGCCAAUCAAAUAAUAGUUCAUCUACUCAGCUGGGAAGAUGCAUAGGAAAAACGUUCUCCCAAUCGGAUCUGGAGACCAGUUCUGACUCUGAGGAAGAUGCACUACGCCGAUUGAAUUCUGGGUCACAUCUUCUACCGGAUAGUCUUACUAUUCAAACAGAUGAGCCGGCUAUCACAGAUGCAGGUACGGGGUCUAGCGGCAGCUGCCCUGAGGAACAAUCUCAGGAUCAACGACAGGUACGCGAGAUACGUGAGUGUGUAGUAGAAGUGGGAACGCCAAAUGUCGUUGAGACUGAAGAAAUUGCUAGAGACGGAGCAAAGGACGAGAAAGUGGUGCGACGGAGAAGUUCUCGCGAUCAGGAUGAACUUCCUCUGAUUGAAAUUCCAACCGAUGAGGUCAAUAGUUUAGAAGUGGCGUUUAUGUACGAUGCGCCAAUGCGUGAAAUGACGAUCCACGUAUUGCAGGGACGAAAUUACCCAAGCGGUAUCGGUGGUAGUCAGGUCCGUCUGGUUCUGCUCCCGACGAAAAAGCAGCGACGCAAAACUCGGGUCCGUCAAGGAACAAGCCCUCAGUACAUGGAGAGUUUCUUGUUGCAUCGUGUAAAUCCCGAGGAUGUGAAUGGGAUGGGUGCUAGGCUAAGGGUUUACUGGUGGAGUGGACGAAUGCGCAGAGAGAGGUUGUUGGGUGAGGCGAGAGUAUCUUUUGAUCAGAUAAACUUACAGCUGGAAACCACGCUAUGGCUACCACUUCAGUGCCUACCUCGAUCUCUGUCAACGGCUCAAGAUUGGGGAACAAGCGGCAGUUUAACCCGCAGCGAUUCAACAGGUUCCCAACAAUCGGUCCGUUCCUACGCGUCUCCACCUCCGGUACCGCUCUGCGGCACCGGGAUGCGUGGCGGAAGCAUAGCGGAGAUCCUAAUCGGUCUGGCUUACAACGGCACCACAGGCCGAUUAUCUGUGGAAAUUAUCAAGGGAUCUCACUUUCGGGGUGGCGGUGGAAAUGAUACCAGGCCUCCUGAUACUUAUGUCAAGCUGGCUCUGGUCGACAGCAACGCUCGCGAAAUGGGCCGAUCGAAAACCGGUCUGAAACGAGCGCAGCCUAAUCCGCUUUACAAGGAAACGUUUGUAUUUCAGGUUGCCCUGUUCCAACUGGCUGAGGUCACUUUAUUCCUGUCCGUCUACAACCGUCGAAGAGGUGGUAUGGGUCGAAAGGGACGUGAGAUGAUCGGCUGGCUAUGCUUGGGACUGAACAGUUCGGGUCCAGAAGAAUUGCAGCACUGGAACGAUAUGCGAAUUGUUCGUCAGCCGGCUUACAACGCACAGGUGCAACGAUGGCACGCUUUGUUGCGACCCUGAGGAAACGGAGAGUUUGAGAGAGUUUACGUUUUCUUCUCCAUUUGGUUGUUACCACGGCAUUUAAGUGGUACGCACCUCCCGCCCUUCGUGAUCCAGCAUACGCGGCCCGACACGUGAAUAAUCAGGUCCUCCGAG